UACAGAGGUCCCAAGCGUUGUUCGGACUCACUGGGCGUAAAGGGUGCGUAGGCGGUCGGGUAAGUCUGACGUGAAAUCUCACAGCUUAACUGUGAAACUGCAUUGGAUACUAUCCGGCUAGAGGAAUGGAGGGGAGACUGGAAUACUUGGUGUAGCAGUGAAAUGCGUAGAUAUCAAGUGGAACACCAGUGGCGAAGGCGAGUCUCUGGACAUUUCCUGACGCUGAGGCACGAAAGCCAGGGGAGCAAACGGG
rnacentral:rRNA from 1 species